UACAGAGGGUGCUAGCGUUGUUCGGAAUCAUUGGGCGUAAAGGGCGUGUAGGCGGUUUGUUAAGUCAUGUGUGAAAUCCCUCGGCUCAACCGGGGAACGACGCAUGAAACUGGCAAGCUAGAGUACCAAAGAGGGGGGUGGAAUUCCCGGUGUAGCGGUGAAAUGCGUAGAUAUCUGGAGGAGCACCGGUGGCGAAGGCGGCAUCCUGGACCAACACUGACGCUGAGGAGCGAAAGCCAGGGGAGCAAACGGG
rnacentral:rRNA from 1 species